GCCCCCGUUGUCUAAUGGUUAUGACGUCAGACUUCUACUCAUGUUCUUCAGGUAGGUAUCUGGAGGUUGCGGGUUCGAGUCCCGCCGGGGGUU